GACCGGCUAGCUCAGGUGGUAGAGCAUCUGCCUUUUAAGCAGGGGGUCCUGGGUUCGAAUCCCAGGCCGGUCA
rnacentral:tRNA from 4 species